AACCCAGACCGCCAGCUAAGGUCCCAAAGUCAUGGUUAAGUGGGAAACGAUGUGGGAAGGCCCAGACAGCCAGGAUGUUGGCUUAGAAGCAGCCAUCAUUUAAAGAAAGCGUAAUAGCUCACUGGUCGAGUCGGCCUGCGCGGAAGAUGUAACGGGGCUAAACCAUGCACCGAAGCUGCGGCAGCGAACGUAUCACUUAAAGUGAUUCAGCGGGUUACGAUUGACGGAGCGAAGCGACGUCAAAGCGUAUACAAAGUCGAGUCGGUUUAAGGAUACGUUCGUUGGGUAGGGGAGCGUUCUGUAAGCCUGUGAAGGUGGCCUGUGAGGGUUGCUGGAGGUAUCAGAAGUGCGAAUGCUGACAUAAGUAACGAUAAAGCGGGUGAAAAGCCCGCUCGCCGGAAGACCAAGGGUUCCUGUCCAACGUUAAUCGGGGCAGGGUGAGUCGACCCCUAAGGCGAGGCCGAAAGGCGUAGUCGAUGGGAAACGGGUUAAUAUUCCCGUACUUGGUGUUACUGCGAAGGGGGGACGGAGAAGGCUAUGUUGGCCGGGCGACGGUUGUCCCGGUUUAAGCGUGUAGGCUGGUUUUCCAGGCAAAUCCGGAAAAUCAAGGCUGAGGCGUGACGACGAGGCACUACGGUGCUGAAGCAACAAAUGCCCUGCUUCCAGGAAAAGCCUCUAAGCAUCAGGUAACACGAAAUCGUACCCCAAACCGACACAGGUGGUCAGGUAGAGAAUACCAAGGCGCUUGAGAGAACUCGGGUGAAGGAACUAGGCAAAAUGGUGCCGUAACUUCGGGAGAAGGCACGCUGAUAUGUAGGUGAAGCGGUUUACCCGUGGAGCUGAAAUCAGUCGAAGAUACCAGCUGGCUGCAACUGUUUAUUAAAAACACAGCACUGUGCAAACACGAAAGUGGACGUAUACGGUGUGACGCCUGCCCGGUGCCGGAAGGUUAAUUGAUGGGGUCAGCGCAAGCGAAGCUCCUGAUCGAAGCCCCGGUAAACGGCGGCCGUAACUAUAACGGUCCUAAGGUAGCGAAAUUCCUUGUCGGGUAAGUUCCGACCUGCACGAAUGGCGUAAUGAUGGCCAGGCUGUCUCCACCCGAGACUCAGUGAAAUUGAACUCGCUGUGAAGAUGCAGUGUACCCGCGGCAAGACGGAAAGACCCCGUGAACCUUUACUAUAGCUUGACACUGAACAUUGAGCCUUGAUGUGUAGGAUAGGUGGGAGGCUUUGAAGCGUGGACGCCAGUCUGCGUGGAGCCGACCUUGAAAUACCACCCUUUAAUGUUUGAUGUUCUAACGUGGACCCGUGA
rnacentral:rRNA from 1 species